rnacentral:rRNA from 1 species
AUACGGAGGAUGCGAGCGUUAUCCGGAUUUAUUAGGUUUCAAGGGUGUGUAGGCGGUAUUUUAAGUCAGUGGUGAAAUCUCGGAGCUUAACUUCGAAACUGCCAUUGAUACUGGAAUACUUGAGUAUAGUUGAGGUAGGCGGAAUAUGUAAUGUAGCGGUGAAAUGCAUAGAUAUUACAUAGAACACCGAUUGCGAAGGCAGCUUACUAAACUAUUACUGACGCUGAUGCACGAAAGCGUGGGGAGCGAACAGGAUUAGAAACCCCAGUAGUCC